CACGCCGUAAACGAUGAUAACUAGCUGUCCGGGCUCUCAGAGCUUGGGUGGCGCAGCUAACGCAUUAAGUUAUCCGCCUGGGGAGUACGGUCGCAAGAUUAAAACUCAAAGGAAUUGACG
rnacentral:rRNA from 1 species